UGGGGGGGCUACACAUGCAGUCGACGCUGAAGCUUGGUGCUUGCACUGGGUGGAUGAGUGGCGAACGGGUGAGUAAUACGUGAGUAACCUGCCCUUGACUCUGGGAUAAGCCUGGGAAACUGGGUCUAAUACUGGAUAUGACCUCCUGUCGCAUGGUGGGGGGUGGAAAGGGUUUGUACUGGUUGUGGAUGGGCUCACGGCCUAUCAGCUUGUUGGUGGGGUAAUGGCCUACCAAGGCGACGACGGGUAGCCGGCCUGAGAGGGUGACCGGCCACACUGGGACUGAGACACGGCCCAGACUCCUACGGGAGGCAGCAGUGGGGAAUAUUGCACAAUGGGCGCAAGCCUGAUGCAGCGACGCCGCGUGAGGGAUGACGGCCUUCGGGUUGUAAACCUCUUUCAGCACGGAAGAAGCGAAAGUGACGGUACGUGCAGAAGAAGCGCCGGCUAACUACGUGCCAGCAGCCGCGGUAAUACGUAGGGCGCAAGCGUUGUCCGGAAUUAUUGGGCGUAAAGAGCUCGUAGGCGGUUUGUCGCGUCUGCUGUGAAAGCCCGGGGCUUAACCCCGGGUGUGCAGUGGGUACGGGCAGACUUGAGUGCAGUAGGGGAGACUGGAACUCCUGGUGUAGCGGUGAAAUGCGCAGAUAUCAGGAAGAACACCGAUGGCGAAGGCAGGUCUCUGGGCUGUUACUGACGCUGAGGAGCGAAAGCAUGGGGAGCGAACAGGAUUAGAUACCCUGGUAGUCCAUGCCGUAAACGUUGGGCACUAGGUGUGGGGGACAUUCCACGUUUUCCGCGCCGUAGCUAACGCAUUAAGUGCCCCGCCUGGGGAGUACGGCCGCAAGGCUAAAACUCAAAGGAAUUGACGGGGGCCCGCACAAGCGGCGGAGCAUGCGGAUUAAUUCGAUGCAACGCGAAGAACCUUACCAAGGCUUGACAUACACCGGAUCGGCUCAGAGAUGAGUUUUCCUCCUUGUGGGGCUGGUGUACAGGUGGUGCAUGGAUUGUCGUCAGCUCGUGUCGUGAGAUGUUGGUUAAGUCCCGCAACGAGCGCAACCCUCGUCUAUGCUGGCCAGCACGUGAUGUGGAACUCAUAGGAUACUGCCCGGGUCAACUCGAGUAAGGGUGGGGGCAAUGC
rnacentral:rRNA from 1 species